UGUUUUUCUGUUGCUGGAUGGCUUUGCCCCUGACUGGACACACUGUGACCUGGCCACUCCUCCAGGAAGACUCCAGGAGGCUUCAUCUCUGGCCUCAGGGUAGGCUCCUUCAAUGGCAGUGCUGACCUUGGGAGCAGGUGGUUGAGUGCCUCAUUCACACUCUUGUUGUUGUGGCUCUGGACUGACCGCAGAGCACUCACCGUCACCAGAGAUUCUGACCCAGACAGGCAGCAAGGUCCCUAGUACCCACCCCCAUGGAUGCAGAGCAGAAUGGUGACCUGGCCUCAUCACAAAGCUUCACCUGUGGCACUGUUCCUCUGGUGCUGAGGCCUUCGAGGGACACGCACAUCUCUGCUGGGUUAAGCUGCUGGGAUCUGGAGUCCUCUGCACCACAGGAGGAAUCGGGGGCCCUCUGGAGUGUCCUCCAGAUCCAAGCUUAGAGACAGUAUGGGGCGAGUCCAUCAGCCAUGUGCCAGGACACGGAGCACUGGCAGGCCCAUGCCCACUAGCACGGUCAGCUAGCACCUCAGAAGACAUGGUAGUAUCCCUGUUUUAUAGAAGAGAAAACUGAAGGCCAGGAGCGGUGGCUCAUGCCUGUAAUUCCAGCACUUUGGGAGGCCAAGGCGGG